UGUGGCUGUGCCGUCGGGACCCAGCGGUGAGCGGCGACAGCGGGCGGCUCCUUCCUUCCUUCCUCCCUCUGCUCUUUGUUCUCCUCUCCUGCUCGUCCACUGCCUGGCAAAGCUUUGCCCUUUCCUCCGGGGUCUGCUGAGCUGGGGAGCAGCGGCGCGGGUCGCUUGGUGCUGGCUGGUUUGAAGCCAUGACAGUCCUUUUUGGUACCCAGCGUGGGGCACGAAGCGUUGGGUGCUGUUUAUCACCUCUGGGAGAGGGACGGAGACCGUGAUUGUGUUGUACUGGCUGCUGACACCGUAUGAUGCGGUUGUGUUGGUUAUAUUGGUUCUGGGGCUGGGCUGGUGUGUCUGGGCAGCAUUGUUGGCACUCCCAUCCCGUGGGCUUUUCCUCUCAGUGAUCUCACCCAGUCUCUGGGGAGGGCACAGAGGGGAUGCUUUCUCUUCCUUUUCACCUCUCCUUUCUCCUCAUGGCAGAUUACAGCAGCCUUGGAGGAUUCUGAGCACCCGUGGGAGAUUCCAGUCAUCCUGCUUUUACUGCUCUGUCUCAUGUUCCAUGUCUUGCCUGAGGUUGUUCCCCAAAGGUCUGUCCCAAGGCUGGACAGUCACAGGUGGGAGAAUAGGGGCAGGGAUCUGGGGUGGAUCCUGCCAGCCCAGCCCCUCAGGGUGGAUCCCACCAGCCCCAAACCUGCCAUGGGCAGCAAUAAAGGCAGAUCCCUCGUUAUUAGCAAAACCAAGGACACAAGCAGCCAGCUCUCGCUCUGUGCCUUGACCCUGACGUGCCUCAGCUCCUCUGGCUGCCGAAGCCUGGCCAUCUGGCGGUGACUCUUCAGCUAUAAUCUGAGGAGGCAGACUUGGCUGCUGGGGUGUGCCCAGGGCUGGAAGCCCUGACGGCGUCCCAGCGCGUGGCUGAGGCCGGGGCUGCGGCGUGGGCAGCCCCACGGGAGCGGCAGGGUGCCUCAGCACAGGGAGGCUGAGGGCUUCCAGCUCCUGGGCCAGCUUUUGGGAGCAGAGGGAGCUGUCAGCUGGAAGGGGCCAGGCCCAAGGCUCCCAGCACUGCUGGCCAGUGCUUGUGGCAGCUUUGCAAACACAGGAGGCUGUGGUGAGCACACCCAGGUGCCAGGCUGCUGCCUCCCACGAGCCGACACUCGGUGAUACCCAGUGUCUGAAGCCUUUGCCUGGGAAAGCUGAGUAUCAUCCUGCCUUUAGGCCAGCAGGAGGAUGGCAGAGCUGAGACCUUCUGCCGACCCACUCCAGACACCACUGCCUGGACUGAAACUGAGCUGCUGCAUUACUUCAUGUCAGUUUCCUUAGGGCUGAUCCCACUGAAGCUGUGUGUGUUGUUUGAGACUGUUGAUGUUUCCCAAGGCCUUGUGGCUCUGUCAGACAAAGCAUUGUCUAGAAACAGAAUGCCCAAGGUAAGACCAGCAGAUGCUCAAGAUGUAACUGAGUGAGCAGAGUGUUGUCCCACCAGUGAUAACAAAUCACCUCAGCAAAUCAGUAACAACUGUAGAAUUCAGUGGCUGUUUCCUGGAAUAGCUGUGUCUAUGGUCAGGCAUUGAAUAGUCAUGUUUUAAUGUAUCAGAGGAGUGUGCUUUUGCCCCUGUGCCCCAGCACUGCAAUAAAGAAUCCCUGCUUCAUCCCAA